CGCCCUAGCAGCGGGCUCCAGGGGAGGUGCCGGGCUCCAGCUGGAGUUGGGCUCUCAGCGCUGUGGGGAACUAGCAGCCCCGUGGCGCGGCUGCGCUGGGCUGAGCUGCCGUCAGGCUCCUAGCGCUGGGGGCUAAAGGCGGGUGGAGGCGCUGCGGCUCAAAGCGAUGCCGCAGGGCCGCAGAGCUCCGUUUAAAGUGGGAAACCACAGUGCUGCCCUCUGUCUGACUCCCCUCUUAGGUGUCGUCAUCACCCCCUCCAGACCAGCAGCCUGGCCCAUGGGCCCCUAUCUCCAUGCCCUCUCAGGAGCCUCAGCCCUGGAGGGAAUCCCCCUGCUUGUCCCACCCAGCUCCCUGCCAUACCCCUCCCGGCUGGCAACCUUCACCCGGGAAGGUAGCGCUCGAGAGGUGCAGGAACACUCCAGUAUGGUGCUCCUUCCCUUCUGAUGGGUGCAACAAAGUAGGGACACCAGGCCCCCUCAUUGGGUGCCUUUAAAUAGAGCGAUCCAGCAGCUGCCACCUCCCCUCCCAGCCAAACCCAAGACAGCAGCCCCUCCACCACCAGUGCUGCCUUGUCCGAGGAAGGGCUUGGACCUUCAGUCCCCUCCUAAGCUGCAGUGCUGGGAUGAGGUAAUAGCCCUUUACUGUGGCACAGGCCGAAGGGCUCUGGCAGAAGAAUAGUGACCCCCACCCUUUUACUGCCCAUGAGUAAGUCAACCUGGACCGGUGCCGGCAGGAAUCCAACAAAAAAAUGACCUUGGGAGCACAGCCUCCCUCUUUGUUAUUGGUGGCAGAAUGGUUGAGAAGAAUUAGGAAGUGUCCAAGAAGAACUAAGGAGGACUUUAUGCAUGAGAUUAUGAUGCACUCCACCGCUGAGAAACAGGAAUUGAAGGAGUGGCAGGACAGCGAGAAGAGGGAACGAAAGGAGAACGCGGCACACCAGAAAGAAGCCACGGAGUGGCUCUUAACAGUUAUGGAGCGCCAAGCAGACAUGCUCCAGGUGAUGCUAGCUCUUGAAACCGAGCAGCUCCACGCCCGCCCUCCCCUGCAGCCUCUGCUGAACUCUUUCCCAUGCACCCCUCCCACACCACCAGCACACUCUUAUCAACCUCCUGGCUCCACUCUUUACCCGCA